GAUGAAGAACGUAGCGAAAUGCGAUAAGUAGUGUGAAUUGCAGAAUUCAGUGAAUCAUCGAAUCUUUGAACGCACAUUGCGCCCUCUGGUAUUCCGGAGGGCAUGCCUGUUCGAGCGUCAUUAAAACUACUCAAGCUAAGGUUUUACCUUCUGCUUGGUCUUGGGUUUGAGGAUUCAAAAUCCUCUCUCCGAAAUCCAGUGGCGAAUUGUUUGAGCUGUAGACGUAGUAAAACAUUCUACCCGUUGCAAGCGAGAAUAAUAUUCAGCCAUAACCCCCAUACUUUUCUAGUUUGACCUCGGAUCAGGUAGGGAUACCCGCUGAACUUAAGCAUAUCAAUAAGCGGAGGA
rnacentral:misc_RNA from 1 species